rnacentral:misc_RNA from 1 species
UACGGAGGGGGCUAGCGUUGUUCGGAAUCACUGGGCGUAAAGCGCACGUAGGCGGACUGAUCAGUUGGGGGUGAAAUCCCGGGGCUUAACCUCGGAACUGCCUCCAAUACUGUCAGUCUUGAGUUCGGGAGAGGUGAGUGGAAUUCCUAGUGUAGAGGUGAAAUUCGUAGAUAUUAGGAAGAACACCGGUGGCGAAGGCGGCUCACUGGCCCGAUACUGACGCUGAGGUGCGAAAGCGUGGGUAGCAAACAGG